UGGGGAGGGUGGAUCAGGCUGCAGACAUGGAAGAAACAACAUGUGGGACAAGACAAGGAAGAAACCUGCAUGCAUGCAGUGAAGAAGCAAGGCUGGGAGCAGCGAAGCAAAAGGUCUGCAAACCAGAAGACAGCUGGUGGCAGAAAAUGGAAAGACUGAGAUAGAGGCUGUAAGAGAUUCAGCUCCAGACACGGAAAACACAAGGCUCUGGGCAUGAUGAAGGAAGGAUGCGGGGAAAACUGGACUGCAGGCCCAUCAGACUGCUCCAGGCUUCUCGGAUCCCUUCAGGGAGGCCGUGGCUCACCUCCUUCGCUCCACUAGCACCAGCACCUGGUUCUCACUGUCCCCCUGGAUGGCUGUGGAGGGGGUCAGUCAAGGGCAGAACCCAGCCCAUUGAUGGAACCUGGGUACCAUGACCCACUUCAUACCCACUCAGAUGUGCCCUUCCCAGACACCUUCAGGAGAACUCUUCUCUGGGCCCCCACAGCACCAAAGCAUUCUUGCCCUCUGUUGUGGCACUAGUUACACUGUUACUGCCACCUGAACGCCACCCGUAUGGGAGCUGUCUCCCUGACCCUGAAGAGCUAGGACUAAGCAUGGUUCAUCUGGGUCCCCAGGUCUCCGAGGGCUGACUUUUAGGAGGCUCACAAGACAACUGAUCAAUGGACAAGUGAAUGAUUAAAGUCAGAGGCUGUCACAGCACAGGGGACCCCACAGGCACCUGACUAUAGUUCCUGCAGCAGAGCUCUCCCCUGUGGCCUCCCUGCCUCUUCCCUCCAGCCUCUGCUUGCUCACCUCCAGGAACAAGAAGCACACUGCCCUGGAGGUGGCACUGUCCAUCCUAAGAUGGCUCUGUCACUCACUGUUAAACACUUAUUGAGCACCUAUGAAGUUCAAGGCCCACAGCUCUUCUUCUGCAGAGCUAAGAUAGGUCUGACCAACCGGGGCUGCAGAUUACACUAGGCCCUUGGUGGGACAGGCCUGCUCCAUGUCUGCUGCCCUCCAUCUAGCUUCUGCUCUCUGAACAGGGGAUCUGGGAUACAUGGGAUUGGUCAGGAGGCCCCACCUUCCCCCAUCACCCACCCUUACACCCACCCUGCUACCCCAGGCCCACCUUAGC